rnacentral:misc_RNA from 1 species
GCAUCGUCUUCUUCGACAUCAUCUGGACCAGAAAUCCCUUGGGUUGAGAAGUUUCGACCCACCAAAGUAUCCGACAUCGUCGGCAAUGAAGAUGCAGUUGCCAGGCUUCAAGUUAUUGCUCGUGAUGGAAACAUGCCCAAUCUUAUUUUAGCCGGUCCUCCGGGUACUGGCAAAACCACUAGUAUAUUGGCUCUUGCUCAUGAGCUUUUGGGACCAAACUAUAAGGAGGCUGUGUUGGAGCUAAAUGCAUCAGAUGAUAGGGGCAUCGAUGUUGUUAGAAACAAAAUCAAGAUGUUUGCUCAGAAGAAAGUUACUCUACCCCCUGGUCGGCACAAAAUAAUUAUUUUGGACGAGGCUGACAGCA